UUCCGGUUGAUCCUGCCGGAGGUCACUGCUAUUGGGAUUCGACUAAGCCAUGCGAGUCGAGAGGGUUCGGCCCUCGGCAGACUGCUCAGUAACACGUGGAUAAUCUGCCCUUAGGUGGAGGAUAACCUUGGGAAACUGAGAAUAAUACUCCAUAGAUCUAAGAUGCUGGAAUGCACUUAGAUUAAAAGCUCCGGCGCCUAAGGAUGAGUCUGCGGACUAUCAGGUUGUAGUCAGGGUAAGGACCUGACUAGCCUACAACGGAUACGGGUUGUGAGAGCAAUAACCCGGAGACGAUAUCUGAGACACGAUAUCGGGCCCUACGGGGCGCAGCAGGCGCGAAACCUUCACAAUGUGCGAAAGCGCGAUGAGGGAAUCCCAAGUGCUUGCACUUAAGUGUAAGCUGUUUCUUUGUUUAAAACGCAUAGAGAGUAAGAGCUGGGUAAGACGGGUGCCAGCCGCCGCGGUAAUACCUGCAGCUCGAGUGGUGGCCGCUAUUAUUGGGCCUAAAACGUCCGUAGCCGGUUUAAUAAAUGCCUGGGUAAAUCGUGUAGCUUAACUAUACGAAUUCCGGGUAGACUGUUAAACUUGAGAUCGGGAGAAGUCAGAGGUACUCCUGGGGUAGAGGUGAAAUUCUGUAAUCCUAGGGGGACCACCGGUGGCGAAGGCGUCUGACUAGAACGAGUCUGACGGUGAGGGACGAAGCCCUGGGGCGCAAACCGGAUUAGAUACCCGGGUAGUCCAGGGUGUAAACGCUGCUUGCUUGAUGUUAGUUGGGCUCCGAGCCCAAUUAGUGUCGGAGAGAAGUUGUUAAGCAAGCUGCCUGGGAAGUACGGUCGCAAGGCUGAAACUUAAAGGAAUUGGCGGGGGAGCACAGCAACGGGUGGAGCGUGCGGUUUAAUUGGAUUCAACGCCGGA
rnacentral:rRNA from 1 species